UACAUUCAUUGAUGUCGUUGGGUUUCACAUGUGAGCGACUCACUGACCAAUGAGUGCAA
rnacentral:pre_miRNA from 1 species